GUAGGUGGCAAGCGUUGUCCGGAAUUAUUGGGCGUAAAGCGCGCGCAGGCGGUCCUUUAAGUCUGAUGUGAAAGCCCACGGCUCAACCGUGGAGGGUCAUUGGAAACUGGGGGACUUGAGUACAGAAGAGGAAAGCGGAAUUCCAAGUGUAGCGGUGAAAUGCGUAGAGAUUUGGAGGAACACCAGUGGCGAAGGCGGCUUUCUGGUCUGUAACUGACGCUGAGGCGCGAAAGCGUGGGGAGCAAACAGGGAUUAGAUACCCUGGUUGUCCACGCCGUAAACGAUGAGUGCUAAGUGUUAGGGGGUUUCCCGCCCCCUUAGUGCUGCAGCUAACGCAUUAAGCACUCCGCCUGGGGAGUACGGCCGCAAGGCUG
rnacentral:rRNA from 1 species